CCCUUAGAUGUUCUGGGCCGCACGCGCGCUACACUGAUGCAUUCAACAAGCCUAGCCUUGACCGAGAGGUCCGGGUAAUCUUUGAAACUGCAUCGUGAUGGGGCUAGAUUAUUGCAAUUAUUAAUCUUCAACGAGGAAUGCCUAGUAAGCGUGAUUCAUCAAAUCGCGUUGAUUACGUCCCUGCCCUUUGUACACACCGCCCGUCGCUCCUACCGAUUGAAUGUGUUGGUGAGGAGCUCGGAUUGGCAGCAGUUGGUGGUUCGCCACCGGCUAUUGCUGAGAAGUCCUCCAAACCGCCCCAUUUAGAGGAUGGAGAAGUCGUAACA
rnacentral:rRNA from 1 species